rnacentral:lncRNA from 1 species
AUGGUAAUAUCUGUCUUUAUAUCAUAACCUUCAACUUAUUUCACUCUUUUAGAUUCGAGAGAAUUAGCUUAAGUGUAAAUCAUUAUUUGUUCUGUUUGUAAUGCAUAGAAGGUGCCCAAGACAAUAUGGCAUUUCCACCUCCCCCAUGGGAAGCUCAGCAUCAAGACUUCAGUCCCACUGCAGAGUCAGGAAGUCCAUUUGCUCCUCAAAUGCAUCCAACACAAAUUGGCUUCUCACAUGCUCAACAAUAUCCUCAAAUGCCCCAAAACAACAACAGUCCAUAUCCUCAAAUGCCUCAACCCGGUAUGUACAUGCAACAGCCAAUGCCAAACCAAGCCAAUCAGCCUCUAGGACAAGGCUAUCCACCCCAACAACAACAGCAGCAGCAGAUGAUGAUGGCUCAGUUCUAUGCCCAACAGCAACAACUACAACAACAGCAACAGGCGUAUGGAAACCAGAUGGGAGGUUAUGGAUACGGUUAUAACCAACAUCAACAAGGAAGCAGCCCAUAUCUGGACCAGCAAAUGCAUGGCAUGUCCAUCAGAGAUCAGGCGUCACAUCAGGUACCAGCAUCAUCGUCUUAUCUGCCUCCAAUGAAACCUAAGAACAAACCAGAGGAUAAGCUAUUUGGGGAUCUAGUUGACAUCUCCAAAUUCAAGCCUGGUACAAAACCGACCUCCGGAAGAGCUGGUACCAUGUGAAAAAUCUCUACUCAUGAUUUAUGAGUAUUCGUCUCUCUGUUUCUUUACUCAGCUAACUCUCUUUCCUUCGUUUUUCAAGAUUUGAUCAAUUGAUUAGACCCACUUGUGAGAUGCAUACAUACAUAUAUGUUAUCGUGUUCCUUGCUUAUAAAUUUGCUGGUGAUUAUGACUGGGAAUGAAUUUGUAUAUUUGUUGUAGAGAACUGUUUGUCCGGAGAUUCUAUUUUCUAGGACAUUGUUAAUCCAUUUGUUUUUUCUCAGACAUUAUUUGUUUGAUUGUUUCCAACUUUCCAUUGGCAAUAAAGCUCAACAUGAAUUUGAGAGUUUCAUAUAUUAUAUGAAUUAUGUGUUGUUUAUGUAAUUUUUACUAUUUGAAUGUACGGUAAAAGUUUAUAAAUUAAUAAUGUUAAGACUAUGAUAUUUUAUUAAUUUAUAAGUUAUUAAUUUACCAAAAACAAAUCUGGAUUUUUAUAUUAGAAUAUAUUUUUAUAAAAUAAACAAAUAAUUAAUUUUACCGUAUAUAUAUUAAUUAAAAAAAAAUUUGAAAAAUAUAUUCGACAUUUAUGUUUUUUUUUAAUUGUAAUAUUUGGUGUAUAUAAAAUAAGUUUUAUAAAAUUUAGAUAUAAUUUUACUAAAUAUAAGCAAAAUAUAAUGAAAUGUUAAAAAAAUAUAAAGAUAAUUACGUUGUGAAAUAAAGUAAAUAAUAUAAUUGUGUGUACUUAUAUGAAAUGUAUAUAUAUAUACUUGAUUUUCUUUAACUACAUAAAAUUGAAAAAGGAAUAUAUAUAUAUAUACUUGAUUUUUAAUUUUAAAUAAUGAAAAAUAAUGAAUAUACUAUUUUAAAGAAAAAAGGUUUCUAAAUAAAGUUAUCUCAAAUAAUAUUUUAAAUACUAAAAGAAAACAACAAACAAUAUUUAUUAUGUAUCUGUUUUGAUCAAAAGAUUAAAAGAGGAAACAAAAUAAUUUAAAUAAUGUAAAUCAACCCUUUGCAUUAUAUAUUGAUCAUUUAAUCUUCUUCUUCGGUUAUAAACUUUUAAUAUUACAACUAACUUCAAACUAAAUAACUAAUUUAAUAAUUAAUAAAUUAUGUUUGUCAAUAGAUCAAAACUAAUAUUUUUUAGACUAAUAGAUUAAUAUUAUUAAAAAUUAAGUGAGAGUGAAACAUAAAAAGCUGACUUAUCAAAUAAUAUUACAAAAAAAUUCAUACGGUACAAGAUAAAUUACAGAAAUUACGUAAAUAUAUUUAAAAAUCUAAAAUAUAAAUGAACUAAAUACAAUUAACAACAUGUAAUAUUAUUAUAUCUAUUUAAAAUACAAAAUAGUCGUCGUAGAAAUGCAACUCAAUAUACACCAAAAAUAAAACAAGUCAAUCAGAUUCUUAAACAUAAAAAUAGCAUAUAUAACUAAAAUAAAAAUAUAUCAAUUUAAACAUUUACUGUAUGGUAUAUCAAAUUUCGUCAAGCCCAUUGGGCCAUAAGAGUUUGGUAGCCAUGUGAUUUGUUAGCUUCUAUGGCGUUUGUCUGCCACAUAAUAAGAACUUAUUACAACGUGUCCUCUGCCUGUCUGCAUGAUCUUCUUCUUCAUUACAUGUUUGUCACCAAACCAAAUUAAAUUUCCGUUUCAUUUGGCAUUUCUUCGUCUUCUACUGAGAAUCUGGUCUUCAAAUUAUGGAUACUCGGAGCUUAGCUGUAUCGAUGAACACCAAUUUCGCCUCCUUUGAUCUCUCUCGGCAUUUAUCUCCUCUCCGAUCGGCUAAACUAUCUCCCCGCUCCAUUCCCAGGGCCUCAGCGUCUAUCUCCACGACGAACAGUGAUUCUUCUCCCUCCGGAAAUGCGAUUAACUCCGAAGCUAUCUCUGUGAAACCAGUUUACGUCCCCACACCACCUAACCGCGAGCUCAGGACUCCUCACAGUGGGUAAAUCAAAUAAAUCCCUUUUUUUUAGUUUCAAAGUUUCAAUUUUUGUUUCCGGUUUAGCUUUUUUCCGGUUUAAUUGGACUUUUGGUUUAUUUUUUCUUAUUCAUUGUUACUCUUUCAAGUUGAUUUUUUAUGUUAUUAUUCAUUCAUUGAGCCUCUUCUGUUACCACUCUAAGACUGGUUGUGAAGUGAAAGUGAACUCUCAUAACUUUCAAUAUAGAGAGUGAAAUUGUCUGACAAGUUGCUGGAACAGGUACCAUUUCGAUGGAACAGCGAGGAAGUUCUUCGAGGGAUGGUACUUCAGGGUUUCGAUCCCUGAGAAGAGGGAGAGUUUUUGCUUUAUGUACUCUGUGGAGAAUCCUGCGUUUCGGAAGAGGCUCUCACCGUUGGAGGUUGGUCUGUAUGGACCAAGGUUCACUGGUGUGGGAGCUCAGAUUCUUGGAGCUAAUGAUAAGUAUUUAUGCCAAUACACUGAGGACUCUCACAACUUCUGGGGAGGUAGUGUAACCUUUCUUGAUCAUUAUUACCAACUCAAUAUCUGAGUCCUGUUUCUACUUCUAGUUCUUAUCUCAAUAUUAUAAGUCUUAGGUGCUAUUUUUCUUUACUUAAUAAAUUAAACUUUGAAGUAUUCCUUACCUGAAUAUUUUACUCAUGAGUAGAUAGGCAUGAACUAGUUUUGGGGAAUACUUUCAGUGCCAUGCCAGGCGCAAGGUCCCCAGACAAGGAGGUUCCACCAGAGGUAAAAAUAAAUAAUCACUCCCUCUUCCAUCAUUUGUUUACUCUGUUAUAUGUAAAAUAUAUUUCUGAUUAUAUCCGGGAUGUCACUAGUUACUUAGUGAUUUGAAUGGAUCUUCUUUUAUUGUUUUCUUGAAUGUUGAUCUGUAAAACAUGGGGGUUUUGGUUGUAGGAAUUCAACAGAAGAGUGUCUGAAGGGUUCCAAGCUACCCCAUUUUGGCAUCAAGGUCACAUUUGCGAUGAUGGCAGGUUAUUUAUCUAAUUCUAUGCACACCUAGGAUUCAGUAUGUAUGACAAUACUACUUGAAGUCUAAUACAAUAGUAGAAUUGCUUUUUGAAUAGACAUCUUGUUUAGUAUUGAGAAACCCGGCAAUGGAACUGUUACUUUGGUAUCUUAGGCAUCAUUCUUAGAUCACGCCACUCACCUACAAUGCUUGCUUCAAUUGGUCAUGAUUCCUGCUCUUUGGUGAUGAUUUCUUUUGUAACCUCAAUUCAACCAGAAGUUAGUUCAUGGCAAUAAAGGAUGCAUUGUAGUAUAUCUCAGAUGUUGGGAUUAGUUUGGCAUAAUAUGUGUAGUAGAACUCUUUAUCUUUUUCUUUGUGGAGUUUAUGUGUUUAACUUUGAAUUGAGUUGUGUUUGGCAGGACUGACUAUGCGGAAACUGUGAAAUCCGCUCGGUGGGAGUACAGCACCCGUCCUGUUUACGGCUGGGGUGAUGUUGGGACCAAACAGAAGUCUACUGCAGGCUGGCCUGCGGCUUUUCCUGUAUUUGAGCCUCACUGGCAGAUAUGCAUGGCAGGAGGCCUUUCAACAGGUGGUGAACUUUUUCUUAAUCGACUAAAUUCAGUAACGGCUCUGCUGAUUGAUAAAAGCUUUGUUGUUGAAUUCGUCUCUUCUCUUCUCUUCUCUUCUCCUCGUUUGAGGUUUUUGUUGGGGGGUUCAAAGGCGAAGAAGAUGGUGAACGCUAUGGUGGAGAGAGCGACGAGCGAGAUGCUGAUCGGACCUGAUUGGGCUAUGAACCUCGAGAUCUGUGACAUGCUCAAUAGUGAUCCUGCGUAUGCUUGCUUGCUUGCCUCUCUCUCUAUGCUCCUUCGAAUAUUGAUUUGCUUUUUUGCUUCUUUUUGUAUUGAAACUGUUUAUCAUCGAUUUGAAUCUGUGAUUGUUUUGUUGGUUCAGUAAAGAUGAAAAUCGAAUUUCAUAGUUCUGGAGAAGCAGAUAAGCAUAGCUUCCAUGUUUCUUUUGAGCAAUUUGAAUACUUUUGACUUACUGUCUACCUGAGUUUGGCUAUGGUUUAAUAAAAAAACAUAUGAUCUCAUUAGCCGUUAGUGUGCAUGUUUGAACUCUAUUAAAGUUGACAUGGUUAUUGUUUGUUCUGUAUAGUUAACAGUUGAGGACCAAGUCUCUCUUGGUCUAUGUAUGGCUGAUUUUGCAGUCCCUCAUGGAACCUAAUAAUUCAUUAUUUAUAGAGUCUUAUUGUAAAAGCUAGGAACUUUUUUUUUUCUUUACAUGCUUUUUGAUUGCAAGAAGCAUAUUUCACGGUUACAUAAUUGAUUUUUACGAACCUUACAGAUCCUACAUAAUGUUCUGAAAUUAUUGGUUGAUGUUUUUGAAGGCAAGCGAAAGAUGUUGUGAAAGGCGUCAAGAAACGGAUUGGUAGCAGGAAUCCUAAAACUCAACUUCUUGCUUUGACUGUGAGUUCCAAGAUUAUUGUCUCCUUUUUUACUUUACUUAAUGGCAGUUUUAUGAUAGUAUUCACUCAACAUGCAUUGUUAUGGUGAAAGCUUCUUGAGACGAUAGUGAAGAACUGUGGUGACAUGGUUCAUAUGCAUGUGGCUGAAAAGGGUGUUAUUCAUGAGAUGGUCCGGAUUGUUAAGAAAAAGGUAAAGGUUCUUCAAAAUGGAUUUAAAUCUGUCUCUCUCUCUUUCUCUAAUUCAUUCAAGGUAUCUAUUGAUGCAUGUAGCCGGACUUCCAUGUCAAAGAGAAAAUCCUGGUCCUCAUUGAUACAUGGCAAGAGGCCUUUGGCGGCCCUAGGGCGAGAUAUCCACAAUACUACGCAGGCUACCAGGAGUUGUUGGUAUGUCUAGUGAAAUUGUUCGAUGUAUUUCCUUUAAUAAAGUGUUGCUUCUGAUUCUGGAUGUCCGUAUGUCUUAUAGAACUAUAUUUAGAUCCUUUUGUGAGUUCUGGUAGAAAUUCGUCUACUACUCUUUCCUGAUCACCAGUUUUAACUUCUGUCUCUUUCAGCGUGCUGGGGCUGUGUUCCCUCAGAGAUCAGAGAGAUCAGCACCUGUGUUCACACCUCCACAAACACAGCCUUUGACGUCUUACCCUCCAAAUCUUCGUAAUACUGGACCUGGUAAUGAUAUGCCUGAAGCUUCGGUAGAGCCAGACUUUCCGACACUGAGGUAAAUAUCUUCGGUUGGAACUCUGCUAUUUUAAGUUGUCGAAAUUUUUAACUUAUCCAUGGAAGAUUUUGUUAGGCCAGUUCCAACGUCCUGGAGUUAUUUGACUAAAAAUAUACGUGAAGCUAUUUUUUGUACUAAUGAAACUUAUUAGAAAAAAGCAAGCGUAGUUGUAAGCCUAGGUAUAGGGUAAACCGAAGUUGAGACGUGAUUAGAAGCAAGAAAAUAUUCACAAGUUCACAACUAAGUUAUCUAUAGUUUUUUUUAACACAUUUGUAGUAAUAGAGUUUCAGAUUUUCUUGUAGGGCUUAUUAGCAAUGUAUGCUAGGGUCUGCAAGUGUUAGCUUUGAGCCUGUUUACUUCUUUAUUUAUGACGUAAUCGCAUGUAUCUGUUGCUUCUUAAUAUUUAUUCUAUUGUAUAUCAAAAUUCUUUUCAGUUUGUCGGAGAUUCAAAAUGCAAAAGGUCUCAUGGAUGUGCUUGCGGAAAUGCUGAGUGCAUUAGAGCCGGGGAACAAGGAGGUAACACGAUUUAGCUGCAGACAGAGAUAAUAUACCAGAAUAAGAAGAAUAUUUUUGGGAUUGUUAUUGGACAUUGCGAUUGUGGAAUUAGAUUAUUUUUGCUUUCGACAUAGUUAUCUCAGGAUAAUCAUCCUUUUUUUUUGUUUUGGAUUUCUUCAGGACCUUAAACAGGAGGUGAUGGUCGAUCUAGUGGAGCAGUGUCGUACAUACAAACAAAGAGUGGUACAUUUAGUCAACUCAACUUCGUAAGAGCUCUUUCUUCUACUCUCUAGUUACAUAUACUUUUCUUUUUCAUGUUGCAUACUAGUUAAAUUACUUUGAGUGCGAUGAGAUCUCUCAUUAUAUUAUUUUCUUAUAUGCAUUUGUAUUAUGAUAGUGUUUGUGAAUAAAACAACCAUCGUUGAGUCUUCAGUUUAAUAUUUCUGGCCGUGAGUUAUAGCUGGUUAGGUUCUGUGUUUAUAUCGAAAAGCAUAGAGAGACUGGGGAAGCAUUCAUGUUUAUUUGGGUUUAGGUUUACGUAAGAAAGAAGGGAGAGAACUUUCUCAAGAAUAUCUGAAAUCCACACUUCCUAAGUUAUUGCUGUAUUAUGUUUACUUCACCUUUCAUAUGUAUCACGUGGAAUAGUCCAGUUGAUGAGAAUUGCAUUUAUGCUUUAGAGCUUAGCUUUCUUUGUAAACUUCUUCACCUCACAACUUUGUUAUCCAGGGACGAGUCUUUGUUAAGUCAAGGUCUGGCGUUGAAUGAUGACUUGCAGCGGGUCUUAACAAGUUACGAAGCACUCGCUUCUGGAAUUCCUGGAACUUCUGUUCAAGUCGAGAAGCCCAAGUCUGAGACUGGAAAGUCUCUUGUAGAUGUUGAUGCCCCACUUAUUGAUACUGGGGACAGCAGUAAUCAAACCAACGGGUACGUAAGACCACACUUGGCCGUGGGUAAAACAAUUUGUCUUAGUAAAUAGCUUCUGAUUUGUACGAUGUCCAAUAUUUUUGCAGAGCUACACCAAGCACUAGUAACGGGAUUCUAAAUCAGUUGGCCCUGCCUGCACCACCUGUAACUAAUGGUUUAGCGAAUUCGAAAAUAGACCUCCUCAGUGGCGAUGAUCUUGCUCUUGUUCCUGUUGGACCUCCUCAGCCAGCGAGCCCGGUCGCAUCAAAUCAAAAUGCACUUGCCCUUAUUGAUAUGUUCGGAGAGAAUACCAAUAGUCCGAGCCCUGCAACUGCACCAACUGGCAAUUCAGCUCUCCCGAGUAGCCCUAUGAAUCCUCAACCAACUAGUCAAGCUGGAGAAGCUGGAUUACAACAAUCCAAUGGAUUUUCUCCUCAAGUGGGUUAUUCACAGUUUGAGCAGCCAUCGUACGGGCAAGGGGUCUCUUCUCCCUGGAAUAGUCAGCCUGCACAGCAGUUGCAACAACCACAACAGCCAUCUUAUGGUAAUAUCUGUCUUUAUAUCAUAACCUUCAACUUAUUUCACUCUUUUAGAUUCGAGAGAAUUAGCUUAAGUGUAAAUCAUUAUUUGUUCUGUUUGUAAUGCAUAGAAGGUGCCCAAGACAAUAUGGCAUUUCCACCUCCCCCAUGGGAAGCUCAGCAUCAAGACUUCAGUCCCACUGCAGAGUCAGGAAGUCCAUUUGCUCCUCAAAUGCAUCCAACACAAAUUGGCUUCUCACAUGCUCAACAAUAUCCUCAAAUGCCCCAAAACAACAACAGUCCAUAUCCUCAAAUGCCUCAACCCGGUAUGUACAUGCAACAGCCAAUGCCAAACCAAGCCAAUCAGCCUCUAGGACAAGGCUAUCCACCCCAACAACAACAGCAGCAGCAGAUGAUGAUGGCUC